rnacentral:rRNA from 1 species
GAGUUUGAUCAUGGCUACAGGACGAACGCUGGCGGCGUGCCUAACACAUGCAAGUCGAACGAGGUCCAAUGAGAGCUUGCUCUCAGAAGACCUAGUGGCGAACGGGUGAGUAACACGUGAGAAACCUGCCUCGGAGUGGGGAAUAACUCGGGGAAACUCGAGCUAAUACCGCAUAUCUUCACAUGACCGCAUGGUCGAGUGAAGAAAGAAUUUCGCUCUGAGAGGGUCUCGCGGCCUAUCAGCUUGUUGGUGGGGUAACGGCCCACCAAGGCAACGACGGGUAGCUGGUUUGAGAGAACGAUCAGCCACACUGGGACUGAGACACGGCCCAGACUCCUACGGGAGGCAGCAGUGGGGAAUCUUGCGCAAUGGGCGAAAGCCUGACGCAGCAACGCCGCGUGCGGGAUGACGGCCUUCGUGGUUGUAAACCGCUUUCAGCAGGGACGAAAAUGACGGUACCUGCAGAAGAAGCCCCGGCUAACUACGUG